UUGGAGGGCAAGUCUGGUGCCAGCAGCCGCGGUAAUUCCAGCUCCAAUAGCGUAUAUUAAAGUUGUUGCAGUUAAUAAGCUCGUAGUUGAAUUUCGGGAUCAAUUUAUUGGUCGUGCUAUUGUACGUACUGGUAUUAUUGAUUCCUACCUUCUGACGAACCACGAUGUCAUUAAUUUGGUGUCAUGGGGAAUCAGGACUGUUACUUUGAAAAAAUUAGAGUGUUUAAAGCAGGCUCACGCUUGAAUACAUUAGCAUGGAAUAACGAAAUAGGACGUUUGAUUUUAUUUUGUUGGUUUCUAGGAUCGACGUAAUGAUUAAUAGGGAUAGUUGGGGGCAUUAGUAUUCAAUUGUCAGAGGUGAAAUUCUUGGAUUUAUUGAAGACUAACUACUGCGAAAGCAUUUGCCAAGGAUGUUUUCAUUAAUCAAGAACGAAAGUUAGGGGAUCGAAGACGAUCAGAUACCGUCGUAGUCUUAACCAUAAACUAUGCCGACUAGGGAUCGGAUGAUGUUAAUUUUUUAAUGACUCAUUCGGCGCCUUACGGGAAAC
rnacentral:rRNA from 1 species